ensembl:snoRNA SNORD15 Small nucleolar RNA SNORD15
CUUCAGUGAUGAUAAGAUGACGAGUCAGAAGGGGGUGGCUCCUGUUGAGUGAUUCCUCUGCAGUGUCAUGUUCUGUGAUGCUGUGUGUGGUUCUUUAGCAGGAGCAUCCUGUUGUCAUUGAAUGAUUUAGAGGCAUUUGUCUGAGAAGG